UUAAUGGAGUGUUUUACUUGACAUAUGGGAUGCUAACAUGAGAUUGUCAAUGGAACUAUCAACUAUCUUUCAAGGUAUAAGAAUAAGGAUAAAGCUUGGCUUAAUGGAAGUUGAACUCCACUUUUAUUCAAAUAUCAUGCCAUGCUGAUCUCCAUCUCUUGAUCUAAUGGCUAAGGAGAUUUUAUAAGCACAUAAAAAUCUUAAUUUCGAGUUAUGAUCUCCUCCCAUUUCUUUCUUAUAAAGGCAAUGCCUUUCUUUGAAUAAAAAAAAAAAAAAAUUAUGCCAUGCCACGAACUCUUGGACAUAAGAAUAUGAUGCUAAGGGUUUAAGUUAACCCUAUCUUAGCCCAAAAUUGACAACUCUAUGGUAUUCCUUGCAAAGUCAAAAGUUUAUAAUUAAUAUCAUGAUAUUUACCUUUAAUGGUAAGAAAUUUUUUUUUUUAAAUUUUG
rnacentral:lncRNA from 1 species